GGUUAGUUUAGGCAGAGGAGACACUUCUCUGAAGAAGAUUACAACUGGUAGUUGAAGUUAUGGAAUUAAAGAGGUCCCUUCCAAGUAAGCACCCAAAUCUGAAUGCCCUGACAUUCACAAGGGCCCAACAUCAGUGUGUGGCCACAUGUUCAUGCACUAAUACAGGCACCAUCUGGACUGAGGGGCCUGACUAUCUCUGUAACAGUCACUGAUCAACGUCUCAGGGGGUCCUCAGUGGCCCAGGGACAAAAAACCUGCAGAAGAAAACUGCCUGCCCAUCAGCCAGAGAAGCCAGUGAAACAGGACGCUGUACCUUGGGAGCAGAUAUUCUUUUCCCCUCAUCUUAUAAAGAGAGGUCAAGUAAAAUCUGAAGUCUCAGAGCUGCUGUCCUGUGAAGAAGUGCAUGUGACCACCAACUGAGGAAAGUCUCCUCAAACAAGGAACUAAGGACCAGCCAGCAAGGAAUCAAGGCUCUCAGAUAAUAACCCACAAGGAAUUGAAUCCUGCCAACAACCACAUGAGCUUAGAAGUAGAUCCUUCCCCAGUUGAGCUACAGAUGAGCUCCAUCCGUGGCUGAAACCUUGACUGGAGUCUUGUUGAAAGAAUCUGAAGCAGAAAACCCAAGCCAAACAUGGAUUUUUUAAUCACAAAACAGUGAAAAAAUAUAUUUUUGUUUAUACCACUAAAUUUGUGAUAAUGCUGCCAUAUAGCAAUAGAUUAAUAAAGAA